UACGUAGGGCGCAAGCGUUGUCCGGAAUUAUUGGGCGUAAAGAGCUCGUAGGCGGUUUGUCGCGUCUGGUGUGAAAACUCAAGGCUCAACCUUGAGCUUGCAUCGGGUACGGGCAGACUAGAGUGCGGUAGGGGUGACUGGAAUUCCUGGUGUAGCGGUGAAAUGCGCAGAUAUCAGGAGGAACACCGGUGGCGAAGGCGGGUCUCUGGGCAGUAACUGACGCUGAGGAGCGAAAGCGUGGGGAGCGAACAGG
rnacentral:rRNA from 1 species